UACGUAGGGUGCAAGCGUUAAUCGGAAUUACUGGGCGUAAAGCGUGCGCAGGCGGUUGUGCAAGACCGAUGUGAAAUCCCCCGGGCUCAACCUGGGAAUGGCAUUGGUGACUGCACGGCUAGAGUGUGUCAGAGGGGGGUAGAAUUCCACGUGUAGCAGUGAAAUGCGUAGAGAUGUGGAGGAAUACCGAUGGCGAAGGCAGCCCCCUGGGAUAACACUGACGCUCAUGCACGAAAGCGUGGGGACGCAAACAGG
rnacentral:rRNA from 1 species